UGCUGGAUAGCUCAGUCGGUAGAGUAUGAGACUCUUAAUCUCAGGGUUGUGGGUUCAAGCCCCAUGUUGGGCAA